GAUGAACGCUGGUGGCGUGCCUAAUACAUGCAAGUCGAGCGAACGGACGAGAAGCUUGCUUCUCUGAUGUUAGCGGCGGACGGGUGAGUAACACGUGGAUAACCUACCUAUAAGACUGGGAUAACUUCGGGAAACCGGAGCUAAUACCGGAUGAUAUUUUGAACCGCAUGGUUCAAAAGUGAAAGACGGUCUUGCUGUCACUUAUAGAUGGAUCCGCGCUGCAUUAGCUAGUUGGUAAGGUAACGGCUUACCAAGGCAACGAUGCAUAGCCGACCUGAGAGGGUGAUCGGCCACACUGGAACUGAGACACGGUCCAGACUCCUACGGGAGGCAGCAGUAGGGAAUCUUCCGCAAUGGGCGAAAGCCUGACGGAGCAACGCCGCGUGAGUGAUGAAGGUCUUCGGAUCGUAAAACUCUGUUAUUAGGGAAGAACAUAUGUGUAAGUAACUGUGCACAUCUUGACGGUACCUAAUCAGAAAGCCACGGCUAACUACGUGCCAGCAGCCGCGGUAAUACGUAGGUGGCAAGCGUUAUCCGGAAUUAUUGGGCGUAAAGCGCGCGUAGGCGGUUUUUUAGUCUGAUGUGAAAGCCCACGGCUCAACCGUGGAGGGUCAUUGGAAACUGGAAAACUUGAGUGCAGAAGAGGAAAGUGGAAUUCCAUGUGUAGCGGUGAAAUGCGCAGAGAUAUGGAGGAACACCAGUGGCGAAGGCGACUUUCUGGUCUGUAACUGACGCUGAUGUGCGAAAGCGUGGGGAUCAAACAGGAUUAGAUGCCCUGGUAGUCCACGCCGUAAACGAUGAGUGCUAAGUGUUAGGGGGUUUCCGCCCCUUAGUGCUGCAGCUAACGCAUUAAGCACUCCGCCUGGGGAGUACGACCGCAAGGUUGAAACUCAAAGGAAUUGACGGGGACCCGCACAAGCGGUGGAGCAUGUGGUUUAAUUCGAAGCAACGCGAAGAACCUUACCAAAUCUUGACAUCCUUUGACAACUCUAGAGAUAGAGCCUUCCCCUUCGGGGGACAAAGUGACAGGUGGUGCAUGGUUGUCGUCAGCUCGUGUCGUGAGAUGUUGGGUUAAGUCCCGCAACGAGCGCAACCCUUAAGCUUAGUUGCCAUCAUUAAGUUGGGCACUCUAAGUUGACUGCCGGUGACAAACCGGAGGAAGGUGGGGAUGACGUCAAAUCAUCAUGCCCCUUAUGAUUUGGGCUACACACGUGCUACAAUGGACAAUACAAAGGGCAGCGAAACCGCGAGGUCAAGCAAAUCCCAUAAAGUUGUUCUCAGUUCGGAUUGUAGUCUGCAACUCGACUACAUGAAGCUGGAAUCGCUAGUAAUCGUAGAUCAGCAUGCUACGGUGAAUACGUUCCCGGGUCU
rnacentral:rRNA from 1 species